AAUAUUGGACAAUGGGCGCAAGCCUGAUCCAGCCAUGCCGCGUGAGUGAUGAAGGCCUNAGGGUUNUNAAGCUCUUUUGUCCGGGNCGAUAAUGACGGUACCGGAAGAAUAAGCCCCGGCUAACUUCGUGCCAGCAGCCGCGGUAAUACGAAGGGGGCUAGCGUUGCCCGGAAUCACUGGGCGUAAAGGGCGCGUAGGCGGCCGAUUAAGUCGGGGGUGAAAGCCUGUGGCUCAACCACAGAAUUGCCUUCGAUACUGGUUGGCUUGAGACCGGAAGAGGACAGCGGAACUGCGAGUGUAGAGGUGAAAUUCGUAGAUAUUCGCAAGAACACCAGUGGCGAAGGCGGCUGUCUGGUCCGGUUCUGACGCUGAGGCGCGAAAGCGUGGGGAGCAAACAGG
rnacentral:rRNA from 1 species